CACCCCUUAUGCUGUGGAUCUUGCCACUCAAGGCCCCGAACCCUAGAACAGGUUUUCACCAUGUGCUGUCCAACAAGAGCCUCCACGGUGGUCACUGGGAGAGCAUGGGGAGCAGUGAGAAUUAAUGAGGAGUCUUGCACCCUGCUCAGACCGGCAGUCAGAAUCUCUGCGAGACAGGAACAAUUGAAAGCUGCCUGCAGGACUUGGAGGAGUAAUUACUUGCUCAAAUGUUGCCAAGCAGACAAGCAAAUUCAUUCCAGACUUUUUUAACAUGUCAAAAGGAUUCGAGUUCUUAAAAGUGGAAAUGAACAAUGGUCCAUAAUACAAUUAAAAACACUGGUUCAGAGCCUC